rnacentral:rRNA from 1 species
UAGGGAAUCUUCCGCAAUGGACGCAAGUCUGACGGAGCAACGCCGCGUGAGUGAAGAAGGAUUUCGGUUCGUAAAACUCUGUUGUUAGAGAAGAACAGCGCAUAGAGUAACUGUUACGCGUGUGACGGUAUCUAACCAGAAAGCCACGGCUAACUACGUGCCAGCAGCCGCGGUAAUACGUAGGUGGCAAGCGUUGUCCGGAUUUAUUGGGCGUAAAGCGAGCGCAGGCGGUCAAUUAAGUCUGAUGUGAAAGCCCCCGGCUCAACCGGGGAGGGUCAUUGGAAACUGGUUGACUUGAGUGCAGAAGAGGAGAGUGGAAUUCCAUGUGUAGCGGUGAAAUGCGUAGAUAUAUGGAGGAACACCAGUGGCGAAGGCGACUCUCUGGUCUGUAACUGACGCUGAGGCUCGAAAGCGUGGGUAGCAAACAGG